UUUUAAUAAACUCCCACAGAUUAACAAUGAAACUCCACCGUUAUAAUUAUCAAGUAAUUAAAACUCUUUCAAUAUCCAUGAGAACACUCGAACAGAGAACUGAAGAGUCAGAGCUCAUCGAAACCCUAAGCUUGCGAUAGACAUCUCCACCGCCAUCUCCGCCGCUGCCUCCGCCGCCAUGGCCGCCGCUAGAGUUCAUCUCUUUUCUGCUUCUGCCAUAAAGCCAUUGAGAUCGAGCCAAGGCAUCUCAUUCACCAACGCGUUUCCAAAUCUAAUCGCAAUGCCCAAGCCUUUGAGAUCGAGAAAAAGUACCUCUUCGGUUAACUCUCCUCCGCCAAUGACGCUCAUGUUCUCCAUCGGCAUUCUAUCCCUUGUAGCUUGGUAUUGAACAUUGCGAUGUAAUGGCAGGAAAGCUUGCUGGUACCUGACAUCUCUGGAGAGUUAUUUGUUUUGACACUUCUAAUUCCACUAUUUUGUUAUUAUUACUAAUAUGAUAUGAUAUUUUGCCUAGGAUUACUGCAUGAUGUUGGCCAUGGUCCCUUCAGCCACAUGUUUAAGGGCAAGUUCCUUUUCCGGGUCUUUAAUGGUGACAAAUGGUAAUUCUAUGAUGUGCUUGUUAAUUCAGGUUUUCUGACUUCUCUCUGUACAUUGAAGUUUCUUCACAUGAUUAAUAGCACAUGUUUCUUGCUUCUUCCAACAACAUUCCAAAAAAUUAUAUUUUCUAAAUUUGUUUAUUUCUAUUUAAGGAGUUAAAUUGACUUUCUAAAACCUGCAACAAUGUGUUGGUUGAGAAUUCAUCCUUUUGAAUUAACAUUACUUUCAGGUCCCAUGAGAAAAUGUCAGCGAAGAUGAUAAAUUAUAUGGUUGAUGAACAUAAUAUUGAUAUUGAUCCUGAACUCCUCAAGAAAGUGAAGGGUCUAUGCAUCAGUUUGAAAGUGAAGUAUGCUCUCUUAUUUCUAUUUACUGUUCUGUUUUCAUCAUUUAGCCUUUGAGAUGAAGGAUGGAAGAGAGCUAGACUCACAAUUUAAGGUCCUAGGAAGCAUAUCAACAAAAUGAAAAUUAAAAUUUCUCUCCGAUUCCGAUUCUGCGAAACCUUUUCCAUUCCUACAAAUGAGUGCAGGAUUAUUCUAUGCAACUUCCUGCACAAGAACUUGUGGCUAGGGAUUUGCAUGAUAAUGUUUGGACUUUCCGUCAUAUAUAUCGAGGGCAACCAAAGCGCCACUUGGUUACAACUGAAUGGAGUAUAUUUGUCAGUGGAAAGAGGCUCUUUGCUGGAGACUCUGUUUUAUUUAUACGGUGAGGGUAA